rnacentral:rRNA from 1 species
GACGAACGCUGGCGGCGUGCCUAAUACAUGCAAGUUGAGCGCUGAAGGUUGGUACUUGUACCAAAUGGAUGAGCAGCGAACGGGUGAGUAACGCGUGGGGAAUCUGCCUUUGAGCGGGGGACAAAAUUUGGAAACGAAUGCUAAUACCGCAUAAAAACUUUAAACACAAGUUUUAAGUUUGAAAGAUGCAAUUACAUCACUCAAAGAUGAUCCCGCGUUGUAUUAGCUAGUUGGUGAGGUAAAGGCUCACCAAGGCGAUGAUACAUAGCCGACCUGAGAGGGUGAUCGGCCACAGUGGGACUGAGACACGGCCCAAACUCCUACGGGAGGCAGCAGUAGGGAAUCUUCGGCAAUGGACGAAAGUCUGACCGAGCAACGCCGCGUGAGUGAAGAAGGGUUUCGGAUCGUAAAACUCUGUUGGUAGAGAAGAACGUUGGUGAGAGUGGAAAGCUCAUCAAGUGACGGUAACUACCCAGAAAGGGACGGCUAACUACGUG